rnacentral:rRNA from 1 species
GUCUUCUCGUUCAGUUGAAGUAAAAAUAAGUACAAGCAAUCUUUAGGUGUACGUACGGAAGGAUCGAUCUAUAUAAAACGAGGGAAGUGGGUGGUCGGUGUCUGUCAAUGAAGGGCACGCCCAGAGAGAUCGCUCUCUCUUACAUCCAUCUCACCCGUUCAUGCCUCCCUGCGGGGCGCCCUUUUUUUUGGGGUGUUGGAGGGGGGGGGUUUCACGUUUUUACACGAACAACCCAUUAAUGCAUGUGUAGAAUGUCAUACUUAUUUUUAAAUACAACUUUCAACAACGGAUCUCUUGGCUCUCGCAUCGAUGAAGAACGCAGCGAAAUGCGAUACGUAAUGUGAAUUGCAGAAUUCAGUGAAUCAUCGAAUCUUUGAACGCACCUUGCGCCCCUUGGUAUUCCGAGGGGUGCACCCGUUUGAGUGUCGUGAACACCCUCAACCUUCUUGGUUUAUCGACCGAGAAGGCUUGGACUUUGGAGGUUUUUGUUGCUGGCCUUGUUUUGAAGCCAGCUCCUCCUAAAUGAAUUAGUGAGGCCCGCCGUGCCGAUCCUCGACGUGAUAAGUACGCUUCUACGUCUUGGGGUUUCGCACCGUUCUUGCUUCCAACUUCGAGUUGUGACUCGACCUUAUAAACCUUGACCUCAAAUCGGGUGAGACUACCCGCUGAACUUAAGCAUAUCAAUAAGCGGAGGAAAAGAAACUAACAAGGAUUCCCCUAGUAAUCUGAGAGGGAAGGGGGAAAAGCUCAAACUUUGAAUAUCUCGGUCU